UUUGUAAACUAUUCAUGUACGGUACUUGCUGAUUUUAUUGGGAAUCAUGAGGGUAGUUGUACAUGCUCCGCUAACUGAUGACACAAGUCGCGCUUGGGUUGACAAGCGGACAGAGGCUGCUGAGCUUUGUUCGGGUGUGGUCGCUAGCACUAAAUCUGUAAGCCGUGCUUACCCUGAGUGAUAACCUGUGGACAUCAAGUCUACCACAAGCUUCGUGGCUCUCCAUCAGUGUCGACGUUCAAUACUAGCGUCUUUACGUUAUCAUUCAUACAAACUUUGCAAGAUUGCGAUUGCCAGUGUGACGUUCACGUUGGAAUACCAGAGUUAGGACCGUUGGAGCUGCUGCUCCGCCGCCAUCUGAGUGGAAGUGUUCAAAGAUUUGAACUCCUUGGACUACAAAUUGUGGUGAAUUUUAGAAGACAUGACCUGCUCUGAAAACACACGCCGUUAUCAAGUCACUUAAGGAACAAGUAAGAUAAAUACAAGCAUCAUUUAAUGAUCUCUCUAUCAAGAGGCACUUUAAUCUAGAGGGACCUGUUUUUCCCAUUACAUCUUCAACCGUCCCUGAGACCACAGUUCAUAAUUCUGUAUCCUCAGAACCUGUGAUCUAUCAAGAAUGGCUUGAAUGUGAAAUUUAAAGAAAAUAAAGUACU